CUAAAUAACUCUAUGUUUGGUUUCAUUAAAGCUUCACCAAAUUACUAAAUCAAUGUCAAUCUCCAUAUUCUUUUUUGUAAUCUCUCUUCGCCAUCUCUCUUCGAUUAAAGGUAAGCGAUCGUUCUUCAUUUUUAUUUUUGAUUUUAUUUUUAAUUUCAAUUUGAUUUACAGUGCACAACCUAGGGUUUAUGGAUCAUUUGAAGGUAAUCUCAAUUUCAAUUUCAUUCUCUUCUCCAUCGAUUAAAGUUAAUCUCAUUUUCAAUUUUAUUUAUAGUGCGCAACUUAGGGUUUACAGAUUAUUCGAAGGUAAUCUCAUUUUCAAUCCAUUCUCUUCUCCAUCGAUCGAAGCUAAUCUCAUUUUCAAUUUCAUUUACAGUGCGCAACCUAGGGUUUACGGAUAAUUUGAAGUGCGCAACCUAGAGUUUACGGAUAAUUUGAAGAUCUCUUUUAAUGUCUUCACCUACUAAAGUUGCUGACUGGAUUUAGGAAGGAAGCAGAGACCGACUUUAAAUGUUACAGCAUGGAUGGAAGAAGUUCUCCAGAAUUAUAGAAAUGCAGUUUGGUAAGGAGCUUAACUAAGAAGUUGCCAUCAAAGUCAUUGGCGGAAAUGUUCAUUGCCACGCGCAAGAGAAAUGCGGGCCGUUUUUACAAGGAAUUAAGGGAAGAUACAACUAACAAGAUUGAUUUCAGCAAAAUAUUUGUGGAAAAUGGUUCCGUAGCAAAAAAGGCGCUCAAUGUUUAGUUAUUUUUAAAAAAUACUUUGGUGAACAUUUUCUGCUUGUGAUGU